UACGUAGGGUGCGAGCGUUGUCCGGAAUUAUUGGGCGUAAAGAGCUCGUAGGCGGCUUGUUGCGUCGGAUGUGAAAGCCCCGGGGCUUAACUCCGGGUCUGCAUUCGAUACGGGCAGGCUAGAGUUCGGUAGGGGAGAUCGGAAUUCCUGGUGUAGCGGUGAAAUGAUGCAGAUAUCAGGAGGAACACCGGUGGCGAAGGCGGAUCUCUGGGCCGAUACUGACGUGAGGAGCGAAAGCGUGGGGAGCGAACAGG
rnacentral:rRNA from 1 species